rnacentral:lncRNA from 1 species
AGAUCAGCCCUGGGGUUCAGAGGGAUCCUGACAGCUACUCCUCAAGAUCCUCUCUGUUGUGAUUCAUCCCCCCGGGGCCCUACAGUUUCUCCUUCCUGACUCUUACAUUUCUUUGGAUGGCAUCAUUAUUUACCUGUCUCCUCCCAUAGUUAGGUGCCAAGCACUGUGGAUUCUGCCUCUCAGUGUCCAGACACCCAUUUUCCUUCCCACUGUUCCUUCCCCAUGGAGAAGCCUGUGGCUGGCUGACAGCAGAGAGAGAUGCUCAACUUGGAGAAGGUGUUACCUGGGCCAGGUGGGGAAGGUUUGUUUGCAGAGCAAAGAAGUGAAGGAAGUAUUAACCCUUUGCAUGGCCUCCUGAGAAUCCGACAAGACGUAAAUAGCCAAGAAUAUCUGUGAAACUUCAUCACUGAGUUACAAUAUUUAUCACUGCAAGUGUGUUGUUCAUUGACACUAUAAAGCCAUGUGGAAUUAAGCAGCCUUGAAACACAAAAUGGAGAAAGGCUAAGAGCUGAGAAUUGUUGCCUUCAGGGAAAUACAAUCAAUGUCAAGCAAACAACCACCCCAAAAUGAUCCUCAUGUGACAGGUGACCUGCCAUAUAAUCAGAAGGAAGAAAUGUUACACAGAGAGGCUGAGAAGAAUCUGAGGACUUGCUAAGUUUUCCCCAGUUUAUUACCAUUAGAUCAUAUGCCUUUUUUGUUCAAUCA